AUACGUAGGGGGCGAGCGUUGUCCGGAAUGAUUGGGCGUAAAGGGCGCGUAGGCGGCCCGGUAAGUCUGGAGUGAAAGUCCUGCUUUUAAGGUGGGAAUUGCUUUGGAUACUGUCGGGCUUGAGUGCAGGAGAGGUAAGUGGAAUUCCCAGUGUAGCGGUGAAAUGCGUAGAGAUUGGGAGGAACACCAGUGGCGAAGGCGACUUACUGGACUGUAACUGACGCUGAGGCGCGAAAGUGUGGGGAGCAAACAGGAUUAGAUACCCUGGUAGUCCACACUGUAAACGAUGAAUGCUAGGUGUAGGGGGUAUCGACCCCUUCUGUGCCGCAGUAAACACAAUAAGCAUUCCGCCCGGGGAGUACGGCCGCAAGGUUGAAACUCAAAUGAAUUGACGGGG
rnacentral:rRNA from 1 species